rnacentral:rRNA from 1 species
GGGGCUUAACCCCAGACCUGCAUUCGAUACGGGCGAGCUUGAGUAUGGUAGGGGAGUCUGGAAUUCCUGGUGUAGCGGUGGAAUGCGCAGAUAUCAGGAGGAACACCAAUGGCGAAGGCAGGACUCUGGGCCAUUACUGACACUGAGGAGCGAAAGCGUGGGGAGCGAACAGGAUUAGAUACCCUGGUAGUCCACGCCGUAAACGGUGGGCACUAGUUGUGGGGACCUUCCACGGUCUCUGCGACGAAGCUAACGCAUUAAGUGCCCCGCCUGGGGAGUACGAUCGCAAGAUUAAAACUCAAAGGAAUUGACGGGGCCCCGCACAAGCAGCGGAGCAUGCGGCUUAAUUCGACGCAACGCGAAGAACCUUACCAAGGCUUGACAUAUACAGGAAUAUGGCAGAGAUGUCAUAGCCGCAAGGUCUGUAUACAGGUGGUGCAUGGUUGUCGUCAGCUCGUGUCGUGAGAUGUUGGGUUAAGUCCCGCAACGAGCGCAACCCUCGUUCUGUGUUGCCAGCAUUUAGUUGGGGACUCACAGGAGACUGCCGGGGUUAACUCGGAGGAAGGUGGGGAUGACGUCAAAUCAUCAUGCCCCUUAUGUCUUGGGCUGCACGCAUGCUACAAUGGCUGGUACAAACGGCUGCAAUACCGCAAGGUGGAGCGAAUCCGAGAAAGCCAGUCUCAGUUCGGAUUGGGGUC